ensembl:processed_transcript Gm13562 predicted gene 13562
AGCAGGUGUGAAGCGUACAUAGCUGGCCGUGGGGUCCGCUGGACCCCGAGAUGAGUGAGCGUGGGGUGACUACCCCUUUUUAGCCAGAUGCUGUUUCUUCUGAGGGGAGGAAUAGGCUGCUUCAGGUCUCAGAUACCCAGGCACACAGGUGACAGGGAAACAAGACACCCUAUGGAGAGGUCCCUUAAGGAUGAACACCUCCAGGGACAGAGCACACUGGGGCUGAGGCGACCCCUGUGAAAGGUUCAUUCAACACCCUCCCUACCAAGGGUUUGAGACCCACACAUUGAGAACCACUGCUUUAAGGUACCUUGUAAAAAGGGAGAGCCGAGCCGCUGAUUAGAGCGUUUGCAAACCCUGCAUCUGACUGGGGACUUGCAUUUUGAAUGUGUAAAAGCCAGUAAUCCAAAGAUAGGUAACUUAAACCUAGGAAGGGACUUGACAGAUGUUUUUUCAAAGAGACGUAUACAUGUAAGAAGCCAGCAGGUACAAGCAAUGAGGCUCCACAGUUAGCCAUGAGGGGCUGCUGUGAAACAACUGUGUCAAAGUCCAUUCCACAAACACUUGGAAGGCUUCAGCCACAAGCCUCACAUGCUACUUGUGGGAGCACAAUAUAGAGACAUUUUGCCCAGUCUGACAGUUCUCUAAAGGCCAAGUACAAGAGUCACCGACCCAAGGACACUCCUGAGAGAAAUGAGCA